AUUGAACGCUGGCGGCAGGCCUAACACAUGCAAGUCGAGCGAGCGGCGGACGGGUGAGUAAUGUCUGGGAAACUGCCUGAUGGAGGGGGAUAACUACUGGAAACGGUAGCUACUACCCCAUACCAUCAGCUGUGCCCAGAUGGGGUUAGCUGGUAGGUUGGGUAACGGCUCACCAAGGCGACGAUCCCUAGCUGGUCUGAGAGGAUGACCAGACACACUGGAACGGAGACACGGUCCAGACUCCUACGGGAGGCAGCAGUGGGGAAUAUUGCACAAUGGGCGAAAGCCUGAUGCAGCCAUGCCGCGUGUGUGAAGAAGGCCUUCGGGUUGUAAAGCACUUUCAGCGGGGAGGCGUUACCCGCAGAAGAAGCACCGGCUAACUCCGUGCCAGCAGCCGCGGUAAUAC
rnacentral:rRNA from 1 species